rnacentral:rRNA from 1 species
CGGUAAUACGUAGGGCGCAAGCGUUGUCCGGAUUCACUGGGUGUAAAGGGUGCGCAGGCGGGAAUGCAAGUCAGGGGUGAAUCUUACGGCUUAACCGUGAAACUGCCUUUGAUACUGCAUUUCUUGAGUCGAAAGAGAAUUGAUGGAAUUCCAGGUGUAGCGGUGAAAUGCGUAGAUAUCUGGAAGAACACCGGUGGCGAAGGCGGUCAACUGGCCCUGAACUGACGCUCAGGCACGAAAGCGUGGGGAUCAAACUGGAUUAGAUACCUACGUAGUCCACGCCCUAAACGAUGAAUACUUGGUGUUGGCCCAUACAAACCAGUGCCGAAGGAAACCUGAUAAGUAUUCCACCUGGGGAGUACGCUCGCAAGGGUGAA